UUCUAAUAUGGCAGAAUAGUGCCAUGGAUUUAAGCUCCAUAUAUAAAAAUUUUUAUUUUUUGUUAGAA
rnacentral:tRNA from 1 species